AAAAUCACCAUAUACCAAGUCACAUCAAUACAACUAACGUGUUUUCAUGCAAUAUUUAAACAAGUAGACGUAUACUUAAAUCUGAAACUGAUUAAAAAAAAAUAUAAGCACAUAUUUGCACAUACUUGGAGCAAUCAGUGUUAGGACUGAUCUGGUAAGGGAUGUUGACACCACACUUGCCGGGAAGGCCAGCUGCAUUGGCGGCUUUGAUGCCAGAAACAGAUUUGGAAGCAUUCUUUAAGCAGUUACAAGCCGUCUUACGAUCAGGGGUUGAUUUUGCAGCGCUAUUAAGUGACCUAACCCCAUUGCAACAUGCCGGUGGCACAGCACCACCAUUUCUUAGGUAGUUAAGACAUCCAGCUAAGUUGGCUGUCACCUGACCACAGGAAAUAGCAGCCUCGGUGUAGGGUGUCGCCACCACCAUGCAAGUCAACACUACACAUAAGAUCAUCAUUGCCAUUCUUGCCAUUUUUCGAGUAUACAAGCACUAAAGUCGUAGAAAAGUUAUGUGUGAUU
rnacentral:lncRNA from 1 species